UCUGACUGUGUGUGAGAGCUGAUAACCAAGGCUUGGAAACAGCUCUCAGUUACCUAUUGUAUAAUAGGUAUUGUGGCAUCUAAUGGGAUAACCAGAUCCCUUCAGAGUCUCAGGGAAACUCUAAUAGGAAGAGCACACUGUCUGA